CACCUCUAGCAUUACCAGUAUUAGAGGCACUGCCUGCCCAGUGACAUUAGUUAAACGGCCGCGGUAUCCUGACCGUGCAAAGGUAGCAUAAUCAUUUGUUCCUUAAUUAGGGACUUGUAUGAACGGCCCCACGAGGGUUUAACUGUCUCUUACUUUCAAUCAGUGAAAUUGACCUUCCCGUGAAGAGGCGGGAAUACAAAAAUAAGACGAGAAGACCCUAUGGAGCUUAAAUUAAUAUGUUCAACAGAAUUUAAUUAUAAUCCAAUAGGAAUAAAAAUAUUCUAACUGAACAAUAAAUUUUGGUUGGGGUGACCUCGGAGUAUAACAUAACCUCCGAGCAAUUAAACCAAGACUUACCAGUCAAGGCCAUAUAACUUAUUGAUCCAAUCUUAUUGAUCAACGAAACAAGUUACCCUAGGGAUAACAGCGCAAUCCUAUUUAAGAGUUCAUAUCGACAAUAGGGUUUACGACCUCGAUGUUGGAUCAGGACACCCAAAUGGUGCAGCAGCUAUUAAAGGUUCGUUUGUUCAACG
rnacentral:rRNA from 1 species